rnacentral:rRNA from 1 species
AGCCUAUUUAUAGCCCAAACUACCUUCUCCAAACCCUACUUCCCUAUAAAACAAACCAUUUGUCAAGAAUAGUAUAAGUGAUAGAAC